GCCGCCGCACCAGAUCCACUGCCGGCAUCCAAAAAAGGUUAGUCGAAGAAGGAACCCCAACCAUGAAGGAGGACUGGCGGAGCCGCUGCACCCAGUGACCCCCCCUCCCCCCGCCGGAAUACAUGUAAAGCUGUCCAAAACCGUCCAAAAUCAGCUUGGCCAAGGUGGACUACCAUGGGCAGCAGAGCCGGCACUGGAGCACGGCGAUGCUGCCGUGUCGGAACCCCAACAUUGGUCGAAAAGAGUUUUGGACACCGAUUUUAGAUUUUUAUAUAGUUUUAGGUACGUGACGAGUGUUUUGAAUUUCGCAGGAAAAAUUUAGGAAACUUGGUACCUAUUAGAAGGUGUGGUAGAAAGUGCGAUAUCUCGAAACACUGAUCCGAGUGAGGUUUAACGAUAUAUAAUUUCGUAUUUUUAUAAAAAAUUAAA